UCGAGGUAAGGGAACGAUGAACCGUUACCUGUAAAUGGUCACUUGGGUGGCGGCGAGUAACCAGUGAAACCGGCCCUGAAAGGU
rnacentral:ncRNA from 2 species